rnacentral:rRNA from 1 species
GAGUUUGAUCCUGGCUCAGAUUGAACGCUGGCGGCAUGGAUUAGGCAUGCAAGUCGAACGGUAACAGAGGUGCUUGCACCUGCUGACGAGUGGCGAAAGGGUGAGUAACACGUGAAUAACCUGCCCUCAAGUCGGGGAUAGCCUUUGGAAACGAAGAUUAAUACCGGAUGUGAAGCUUUUACCGCAUGGUUUAGGUUUUAAAAUUUUUUGCUUGAGGAUGGAUUCGCGCCCCAUUAGCUAGUUGGUAAGGUAACGGCUUACCAAGGCUUUGACGGGUAGGUGGUCUGAGAGGAUAGUCACCCACACUGGAACUGAGACACUGUCCAGACUCCUACGGGAGGCUGCAGUCGAGAAUCUUCCGCAAUGGACGAAAGUCUGACGGAGCAAUGCCGUGUGAAUGAUGAAGGCCUUCGGGUUGUAAAAUUCUGUCACCCGGGACGAAAUUUGACGGUACCGGGAGAGGAAGUGACGGCUAACUACGUGCCAGCAGCCGCGGUAAUACGUAGGUCACGAGCGUUAAUCGGAUUCAUUGGGCGUAAAGGGUUCGCAGGGGGUUUUGUAAGUCUGACGUGAAAUUUCAAGGCUCAACCUUGAACGUGCGUUGGAAACUGC